GGAGCAUCUGCCUGCUGGUGCCUUGGGAUAAUGAACCACUGGUGCUGCCCCCGGGGCCUGACCCUGGCUACCCCAUCACGGCAGAGAUCAUAGAGGAGGAGAGGAAGGCAGCGCAGCAGCGGUUGUGCCGACUGCUGGGGCAAAAGGAGGAUGAGGUCCCCAGCACCAGUGGGGAAGGUACGUCCCUGGGCACAGCCAUCGCCCAGGGCUCCUCGGGUACCAGCCGCACAUG